rnacentral:rRNA from 1 species
AGAGUUUGAUCAUGGCUCAGAUUGAACGCUGGCGGCAGGCCUAACACAUGCAAGUCGAGCGGCAGCGACAACAUUGAACCUUCGGGGGAUUUGUUGGGCGGCGAGCGGCGGACGGGUGAGUAAUGCUUGGGAAUAUGCCUUAUGGUGGGGGACAACAGUUGGAAACGACUGCUAAUACCGCAUGAUGUCUACGGACCAAAGUGGGGGACCUUCGGGCCUCACGCCAUAAGAUUAGCCCAAGUGGGAUUAGCUAGUUGGUGAGGUAAUGGCUCACCAAGGCGACGAUCCCUAGCUGGUUUGAGAGGAUGGUCAGCCACACUGGGACUGAGACACGGCCCAGACUCCUACGGGAGGCAGCAGUGGGGAAUAUUGCACAAUGGGCGCAAGCCUGAUGCAGCCAUGCCGCGUGUGUGAAGAAGGCCUUCGGGUUGUAAAGCACUUUCAGUAAGGAGGAAAGGUUAAGUGUUAAUAGCACUUAGCUGUGACGUUACUUACAGAAGAAGCACCGGCUAACUCCGUGCCAGCAGCCGCGGUAAUACGGAGGGUGCGAGCGUUAAUCGGAAUUACUGGGCGUAAAGCGUACGCAGGCGGUUUGUUAAGCGAGAUGUGAAAGCCCUGGGCUCAACCUGGGAACUGCAUUUCGAACUGGCAAACUAGAGUGUGAUAGAGGGUGGUAGAAUUUCAGGUGUAGCGGUGAAAUGCGUAGAGAUCUGAAGGAAUACCGAUGGCGAAGGCAGCCACCUGGGUCAACACUGACGCUCAUGUACGAAAGCGUGGGGAGCAAACAGGAUUAGA